GUUCAAAAUGUGUUAGGUGGCCACUAUAAUUCAUUAAGUCAAAGUACGCAACAUUUGCUCCGAAAAACCAGAGCUGAUUUUCAUUUCCAUAUUAACUUCAAUUUCAAUAAUAUUAAUUAGAAGAUAGUUUUAAUUUUGAUUUGAAACUAAUUCAAUUUUAACUUGAUUUGGUUCAUAAUUCCAACCGAGGCCAUGUUUAGCUCCAGAGAUCCAAAAACAAAUG
rnacentral:misc_RNA from 1 species